GGGUUUCAGAGUUGGGAGAGUCUCAAAAUCUGUCAUCCAAUGUGUUAUCUGACAUCAAAACCCUUCUACAAUAUUCUUGCUAAAUAGUCAAUAAAUUUCUAUUUGAUUACCUCCAAUAAUGGGGAACUCACUAUAUCCCAUGACUGACCAUGCCAUUCCCAGCUACAUCUUAAUGAUUAGGAAAAUCUUUUCUUAUUAAAAGCCCUCAAAUCUGCCUUCUUGUGUCUUUUGCUCUUGGAGGGAGUUAUGGAAAGAACAGUAAAUGUAGGGUCUGGAAAAACUAGUUUUGAAUCUUGACUCCACUCGCUAAUUGUUUUGUGAUCUUGGGCAAAAUGCUCUACUUCUGUUGGGCUUCAGUUUCCUCACUUGUAAAAGAGGGCUGAUACGUACUUCAUAUUGUGGUAAGAAUAGCAUUAACUGAGAAUUAAAGUAAUUAAAUGAGGACAUAUAUGAAAGUCUCUGGCAUAGAUCUUAGCACUGAGUGUUUGAUAAAUAUUUAUUGAAUUAGAAUUUGAUUUAUCUUCCAGAGCCCUGCAGACAAAAUCAAAUCCUAUAGGCUGAUGUGAUAUAUACUUUAUGAUUUUUAUACCAGAAAUAUAUUCAUAUCAAAUGACUGAAGACAGAUGGAGAGCUUUUUUUAUAUGGGAUUGAAAUCUGCACGUGUCUACCAAGCUCCCAGGAGAUGCCAGUGCUGCUGGUCUGAGGACCAUACUUUGAGGACUCAGGGGCACUAUUUUAUGCUCCUGCCUUCAGAGGGAAACAGUGUAUAGCAGAGACAAAGGAAUCUUUUCCUGAGUUCUGAGUUUCAAAAGUUUAGGUCUUUGGGGGAAAAGGGAAGAACUUAGGAAAAAAUGUAAAGAUCGGAGAGAAGUCAUGAUACAAUUGGACUGGAUUGCAAAGAAAAUCAGUGUCCCUAAGAAGAACCCUUCUCCCUCCUACCCUCCCCCCACCCCCUGGUUGGGAGAAGCAGAACUCCAAGAGAAAUGUGGGGAAUCUGUGGGGAGUUAUAAGAUUCAUUCAUGCCAGGAAAGAUGGGGCAAAGUUCUCAGAAGACAGAGCAGAAUGACUGUCUCCUAAAGAAAGUACGUGGGCCUCUGUUGUGGCCUCUCCCGC